rnacentral:rRNA from 1 species
UAAGCGUGCGCAGGCGGUUUUGUAAGACUGUCGUGAAAUCCCCGGGCUCAACCUGGGAAUGGCGAUGGUGACUGCAAGGCUAGAGUUUGGCAGAGGGGGGUAGAAUUCCACGUGUAGCAGUGAAAUGCGUAGAUAUGUGGAGGAACACCGAUGGCGAAGGCAGCCCCCUGGGUCAAAACUGACGCUCAUGCACGAAAGCGUGGGGAGCAAACAGGAUUAGAUACCCCGGU